CAGUAGCCGCGGUAAUACGUAGGGUGCGAGCGUUAAUCGGAAUUACUGGGCGUAAAGCGUGCGCAGGCGGUUCGUUAAGACAGAUGUGAAAUCCCCGGGCUUAACCUGGGAACUGCAUUUGUGACUGGCGAGCUAGAGUAUGGCAGAGGGGGGUAGAAUUCCACGUGUAGCAGUGAAAUGCGUAGAGAUGUGGAGGAACACCGAUGGCGAAGGCAGCCCCCUGGGACGAGACUGACGCUCAUGCACGAAAGCGUGGGGAGCAAACAGGAUUAGAUACCCCCGUAGUCCCUGUCUCUUAUAC
rnacentral:rRNA from 1 species